AUGGGAUAUCAGCCCGAUU
rnacentral:snRNA from 1 species